rfam:Schistosoma curassoni strain Dakar, Senegal genome assembly, scaffold: SCTD_contig0015129
UUCCAGCUGACGAGUCUAAAAUAGGGCGAAACACGCAUCUUGUAU